ensembl:lncRNA
GCCCUUUGUAACACACGCACCAAGAAAAAAAAAAAAGUAGUAUUCACCUAAUUACUGUUGUCAGUAGAUUUCAGACAAGCAAAAUACAUAGAAAUAGUCACAGAGAUACAAAAUUAGCCACAGUGAAGAGGAGGAGCACGUGCUCUUAAGAGAAUCACGUCCUUCACUAGUUUCUUACCUGAAAAAUCAAAGAGCUAUUAGAUCACCUGGUUCUCCAAACCCGUUUAACACAAGCUCAGUCAACUAGCUUUGCUUCUAAGUUAUAAUUAAAUUCUACUAACUGACAUCGUUGUUCAUGCUUUUUUCUGUUCUCUUUACAGCUUUUUCUCUACACAUUCAACUACACAAGUCUGCAGUGCUGCCACGCAUGACAAUCCACCAUGGUGAAACCAGAGGCACACAAAGCACGUAUUUGAACAGAGCAUUAAGAUUUGAGAAGACUGGGUGGAAAUUAUGUGGUGACUAUGGGAAGAAAAAAAAAAGAAAAAAAAAAAAAAAGGAAGAAAAAGAAAAGACAGAUCUCUGGUGCAUGCAUCAGUGUAAGUAACCGCAGUGACAACUCUCUUGGCCCUGAACAUUAGCUUUGACAAUAACCUGCUUUGCAGAUUACUGAGGCAAUGGUGACGCAUCAUGCUAUGUAUGUGACUAUAUCUGCACACUUCUCAUAGACGUGUGGGAGCUAGAGCUCUGAGGUAUGCACUUUAGGCUUCAUACGUCAUGACAGAAGAGUUAGAUACCUCAGGCUAUGCUACACAGCCUCGCUCUUGUGCUUCUUGUACUGCUGACCAGAAAUUGCGCAGCCACGUCAGCAGAGUGAGCAUGAACUAAUAUCCUCUUUACCCCAGCAGGACUCACCAGAUCAAAUUUAGCACUGUGAUAAUAGCCCAACACUGGAGCUGACCUGCAAUUCAACCAUCUCAGAAUCAAGGGCAAGGCAUGAUUUUGUUUGCCUUGUACUGACAGCCUUGGAAAGGCUGUCAAAAUGAGUCCACUGAGUAGAGAAUCACAUUUUAGGCAACCAAGAAGAAAUUCAGCUAGGCCCAGGCUGGGACCCAUCUCUGAGGUGCUGCAAGGUGUGGCUGACUCCAGCAGAUCAGCGCUGAAAGCACUGCAGGUCCAGAUUUCCAGCAGGGAUUCGUACCCACAGCUCUCAGCUUGGAGCCAAGUGCUCAGGCAGUCUGGAGAACAUAGCCUCCACCCUCCUUUAUUAAGCCAUUUGACUUUGAAUGAGUAAGCCUUGUCCUCAGAACACUGACUUGGGUCUAGGUGAGAUCUGAACUCUGGUCUCUGGGCUCGUUGGCAUUUUGCAAACAAGUGCGAAAGUAUCAGAGAGCCUCCAAGCUGCAAACAAGCCAAAGGUCUGGAAAAUGUUUGUAGGGGGUGUCAAGUCCUUCCCCAGGCCACUGUCACAGGCAGCAAGAUGGGCUUGGUGGCGUGGCUACAGCUGCCUUGGUGUUCUUAGCAGGGCCCAAAAUCUAGGUAGAUAUACAAACCAAGUGCUUCUGUGUAUGAAGAUCUAAAUGUCUGAGUGUGAGCACAGGAACAGAAUAUCAGGAAAAAAAAAGAAGAGAAAUUAGAGCUUAUGUUUGCUUAGCACUGAGAAUCAGCAGGCAAUUUUGAAUUUCUGUAGAGUUUAAUUGUCCAUUUGCUUCUCAAGAUAUCUAAAACCUCCUUGGCUCUCCCAGUAAAAUAAUUAAAUAUAUAAAAUAAAGUUAGCUUUGUUGACUUGCCGCAAACUUUAGCUUAAUUCAGUCAAGUCAGAAUUGCUUACCAAAUAAAACUGACUAAAAAUAUUUUACUUUAUCUCACUGAAGGCUAACUCUAAAACAAGCAUUAAAAAAAAAAAAAAAAAAGAGUGACCAUGAAGGUAGAUGGUUGACUUAAGGAGAAAAGCAUUUCAUCGGCCUGAACUAUGCUCUGACCUAAUUAUUACUAAACAGGGGUAAGUGUAGGUACAAACAGAACACAAAACAAGAUCUUCUAGCAUGUUAUUUUAGAAUAUAUCUUUCUGAGAUGAAACUUUCUAGAACAAGGUAUCUCAUCUAGAAAAACAGAGGAACUAAGGGAUGGAUUAAGGGCAAAAUAAGCCCUUUUAGUCUCUCUCUUGUGACCAGAGAUGACCAGAGAUAAUGUGAAAUGUGUGAUAAUGUGAUAUGCGCAAGCACAGGCACAUUCAUUUUGCAUCUGUCUUUUUCGUUAAGGUUAUGAAUUGAUAUUUGAAAACCUGAAAGCAUUAAGGAAGUGAGCUGCAGAACCCAGCCCCUUCCACUGGUGAACACACGAGAACCAGUACAAAAAUAUUACUUAACAGCAGCCAAAAUUAUGAAAGGAAAUUAAUGUGUUUAAACCCUCUGUUUCUUACUUGUUCCCACAUACUGACCGAACCUACAAGGGCUGGCCCAUCCAACUCCAGGAGCUGCAGAACAAAAGAGACACGGAUCUACAAAGGCAAAUCCAGAGAAGGGUCAUGAAGGUAGCUAGAGGACUGGAGCACCUCUCCUACAAAGGCUGAGGGAGUUGCGCUUGUUCAGUGUGGAGAAGAGAAAGAUCCAAGGAGAGCUGACUGUGGCUUUCCAGUAUUUGGAUGGGGCCUACGAGAAAGGAGAGUUGGCCUUCGGUGGCCCCUUCCAAUUCUAAGAAUUCUAUGAUCCUAUGAUCUCCAUUUUGACUGAAGAGAAUUUCUACAGAGGUUGAAAUGAACGUCCAGAGGAAAUCUCUCACCACUGUCUGAUUUCAUUGCCUAACGCCACCAGUAGAGGCAAUUACAGCACUGUGGUGAACAGGUUUACUAGCAUUCCCACAGUCAAAACACCCAGCACCACGGCUCAGAGAGCUCCAAACCCAGGCGGUGCCAGAGCGUCGGCACCGCCACGGUGGGAAGGACUGCAGGAUGGUCGUGCAGCGACGGGUGCGUCCCGCUUCCUGGGGAGCGGAUGCCAGGAGGGAAGCACGGCUCUCGUUUGAACCGUAGUCCUGCAAAGUGGAUCACAGGGUCAGACAAGCCCCUCAGACACCUCUCUGUUUCCGGCAUAAAGCACCGCAAAAGGGGAGGGAAAGGAGACAAAUUCCCGCAAAUCGCUGGAAGCCGGACGUUACACUGGAAAACACUUGGGAAGCAAUUCUGAUCUCCAGGAUGUGCGGCGUAC